UAAAUAAGAUACUUUCGCUUUGAGUUUAAUUUUUCAUUUCACUUUAUCGUUUCAAAUAGGUAACAAUCAAGUUGAACAAUUAAACUUGACUACUUUUGCUUUUCCAAUUUUUGUUCACCUCUCAAUCUUUCUAUUCUUACGAUUACCUACGCUUUAACAACACAACAAACAUCAAUAAGUAAUAUCUUCAAUAAUAUUACACUCAACAAUUGAACGUUAAAACCGCUAAGUUAAACAGCAAACCUAAUUUCAUUUUUAUUUUCCUGGUUCUAAACCUAAACCUUUAUCUACUGUUAAUUAAUCUUUCAUAUUGGCUUGCUUUUGUCAACGGUUCUAUAUAAGCAAUAAGUGACUGUUUAUUAUAACAAUCAACCAUGGAAGACGAUAUCUUCAAAAUUAUUCAGGAUGCAAGUGCACCAAGACCCAUUGAAAGACGAACCUCUUUAACCACAAAAUUAAUUGGUAAUGCUAAAGAUUGGUUCGGUGGAUUUAACCGAAGACAUUCUGAAUCUCAAAGCGAAGAUGGUUAUGCUCGAAGUCUCUCAUCAUCAUCCGGUGAUAAUUUCGAUGGCUUGAGUGAUCUGAUAUUUCGCAAAAGAAGCCAAUCAAUCACCGGAGAGAAUCCAAUGAAGGAAGGAGUCAAAGACUCGAUGGUGCUCGGGCCAAUAAUAUAGUAAGCGAAAUGUGAUCGCUACUUGUAAAACCACCGAAGUCAACCCUACCUCACCGAAUCUGGCCUUAACAUAAAAAAAAAGAGCAAACCAGCCUCAGCUUUGUCUCUCUUCCUAACACUCAUCACAACAUCUCAUAACAUUAAAUCUCAUAGUACAUUUACAUCGUGAAAAAAGCCAUUCUCAUCAUGAUACGUCUCUUGUCAAGAGAAACACCGACACAUUUACGCUCGUCUCAGAACCGCUCAUUCUAUGUAUACUUUGUACAUUAUUCCUACUUUGUUUUCCGUAUUCAUUUUCCUACUUCGUUUUCCUCUCUUUUGUUUUCCAGGUCAAAUUAUGUUGCAAAUUAUGCCUCUUUAUUUUCUUCUAUCAACUGUUCUAUUGUCAUCAUGACAAACUCUUUAUCCAACACUUUGUUGCCUCAAUUUCAGCGAAAACCAAGUCAGCUAAAUGAAUCUUUCUGAAUACACCAAAAUUCUCUAUCUAUUUGUAAAAUAUUAAUAACGUUAAUAAUUAUCAUCCCCUGAGAAACCCUACGACUUGAUAAGUCUUCCCCUUUCUCGCUACCCUCUCUUUCUCCUCUCUUACCCUGAAAUCUUACACGAAAAUUACUAAAAAUUGAAAAAAGAUAUACAUCCAAAAUUUGAUAAGCUCAUGUCUGGAUUAUCAUAUAUUGUAAUUAAUGUUUUCAGAAUAUUGAUUAUUAUUGCAAACAAACGGCAACAAAACAAAGAUUUGCCAUUUUUGAAAAUGUUUGACAUUUUAUCACAUGAAAUAAAAAUAUAGUGUAAUAAAUUAACACUGUUUAACAUUA